CAAUAGCGUAUAUUAAAGUUGUUGCAGUUAAAAAGCUCGUAGUUGGAUUUCUGUGAGAGUGCCGGUGUCGGCUGAUGCUUGUACGCAGGCGCUCUUACAUCCUUCUGUUAACUGUUCUUGGCAUUUUAUUGCUGGUUCAGGGCUCAGAUAUUUUACCUUGAGAAAAUUAGAGUGUUUCAGGCAGGCUUAUGCCGGAAUACAUUAGCAUGGAAUAAUGGAAUAGGACCUGUGCGUCUCUCGGGGCGCCGGUCUCCGUUGUUGGUUUCGGGGACUAAUGUAAUGAUUAAUAGGGAUAGUUGGGGGCAUUAGUAUUUAAUAGUCAGAGGUGAAAUUCUCGGAUUUGUUAAAGACUAACUUAUGCGAAAGCAUUUGCCAAGGAUGUUUUCAUUAA
rnacentral:rRNA from 1 species